CUAAAAAUCGGAAACAAAACGGUCAUAACUGUCACAGCACAUUUGUUGUUCACGAAUUCCAUGGCUACUCUUCACUGUCACUGCUUCCGCAUGCUCCCCUCUUCUCCCCCUGAUAGGAUCAAUCUGCCACUUCACCAAUUCUCUUUCCCAAAAUACCAUGGAGCUCAGGGAAGGAAGAAACUUUUGCAAUUCCAUUUCCGAUCGAGCAGCGAUAACAACGAGGAAUAUUUGUUGGAUGCUCCUGUUUCAGUUGGGGAUGGAUUUUCUUUUAGCGGAGGGAAAUAUUCAGACGAGCCGACCCCCGCUGAUGAAUGGUUCAAGAAAGGAAAAUUUGUGAAAGCUCAUCCUGUAUCUGGGAUUGGGGAGAAGGCAAAAGAUCCCCUUUUUGGACUUACAAUGGGUGGGGGUUCACAGGCGUCAUCUGAUCUUUUCAGAUGGUUUUGUGUAGAGAACGGAAGCACUGACAAUUCUACCAUUGUAUUAGUCCACGGAUUACCCUCACAGGCAUACUCUUACCGCAAAAUUCUUCCCAUUCUUGAGAAGAACUAUCAUGCUAUAGCAUUUGACUGGCUGGGAUUUGGAUUCUCAGAUAAGCCCCAACCAAGAUACGGAUUUGACUAUACAUUGGAUGAGUACGUGGCAUCCUUGGAAUCUAUUAUCAAUGCUCUUACUGACAAAAAGGUUACUCUUGUAGUACAGGGAUACUUUUCACCAAUUGCAAUCAAAUAUGCUAGCAAUCACCAGGAAAAGCUAAAUGGUCUUAUACUUCUCAAUCCACCACUGACAAUGCAACAUGCCAAUCUACCAUCAACCUUAUCAGUCCUGAGCAACUUUUUGUUGGGCGAAAUAUUUUGUCAGGACCCUCUUAGAGCUAGUGAUAAAACAAUGCUGAGUUGUGGUCCUUACCAAAUAAAAGAAGAUGUGGCGAUGGUUUACAGAAGACCUUAUCUCACAUCUGGUUCUGCAGGAUUUGCAUUAAAUGCAAUAAGCAAGGCAAUGAAGAAGCAACUGAAGGGCUAUGUUGAGGACACAAGAGCAAUACUUAUGGACAAUAACUGGACAGUCCAAACAACAGUUUGCUGGGGACAAAGAGACCGCUGGUUAAGCUUUGAUGGUGUAGAAGAUUUCUGCAAAGAAUCAAAGCAUCGGCUGGUCGAACUUCCUAUGUCGGGACAUCACGUUCAGGAGGACAGUGGUGAAGAAUUUGGUCAACUCCUUGCUGGAAUUGUUGGAAAAAGAAGCAGCAUUUUGUGAUUUUCAUAAGAACUUAUCUCUGGAUUAAAUGGGCUGCUGAAAGGGAUCGACCCAACAUUGGUCUUCUCUGACAGCUUUUUUCCAUCUAUUCUUGAAUCGCUCUAAUUCAACAAGAGAUUGUUUACGCACCUGCAAAAUGACUCUGGUUUUAUCAUAACAUGGAAAGGAACUUGGAUAUAAUAAUUAGUUGUGUGUUUAGCUUUAUAUGCAAUUCAAUGUUAGAAGAUUGUCAUAUUGCAUUGUGUAUGUGGUGUAGAUACACUAAGAUAUGAAUGUUUCAAAGAAACUGGAAAAUGCAACAGGAAUGGCUAUCAAGUAGAGGUUCUUUCAUAGAAGUUGAUUGAACUUACAGCAUUUCUUGCAUCAGACGGAUGAGAUUCCGGCAGUCCCUGCAAUUAAGUUUCAGUUAAUUUACAUGCUAUUCAAGCAGUUGAUUGUUGAAAGCUAGUUACUUUUGCCUUCAGCAGGCUUGGAAUAGAGAGUAAUACCUGUGCACUCUUGACCCUUUUUCUCGUGCUGUAAGUUGAUGAUGAAUUUCUGAUACAUCUGCAUCAAUUGCUGGCUGUGAUAUCUGAAGACCCUCUUCUUUUACUAUUGAUAAAUAUCUGCAGUAAAGAUCCAGGUGGAGAUUUUUUCAGUGUAACAUCAAUGCUAGUUACCUUCUAAUAGAAAAGAGGGAUUGCCUUUUAGAGCUCAUUGAAGUCAUACUGCUACAAAUUUAUACUAGUAGUAUGCAAUUUGGAAUAUAGAUUGUGCUACAUCAGUGAUAAUUACCGUCCA